GGAAAGGUGGCUCAGUGAUAGAGUGCUUGCCUUGCAUGCAUGAGGCCUUGGGUUCGAUUCCUCAGUACCA
rnacentral:tRNA from 1 species